GAAGGUAUAGCUCAGUGGUAGAGUGUAUGCUUAGAAUGUGUGAGGUCCUAGGUUCAAUCCCCAGUACCUCUG
rnacentral:tRNA from 1 species